rnacentral:rRNA from 1 species
CAGGGAAUCUUGCACAAUGGACGAAAGUCUGAUGCAGCGACGCCGCGUGGGGGAUGAAGGCCCUAGGGUCGUAAAUCCCUUUCAGUGGGGACGAAAAUGACGGUACCCACAGAAGAAGGUCCGGCCAACUACGUGCCAGCAGCGGCGGUAAGACGUAGCGACCGAGCGUUGUCGGGAAUUAUUGGGCGUAAAGAGCUCGUAGGCGGUAGCGUAAGUCGGAUGAGAAAGCUCAGGGCUCAACCCUGAGACGCCAUCCGAUACUGCGCUGACUUGAAUCCAGUAGGGGAGUGUGGAAUUCCUGGUGUAGCGGUGAAAUGCGCAGAUAUCAGGAGGAACACCUAUGGCGAAGGCAGCACUCUGGGCUGGUAUUGACGCUGAGGAGCGAAAGCAUGGGUAGCAAACAGGAUUAGAUACCCCCGUAGUCC